AACCUGUAGCUGUCCUUAUCAUUUUACACAGGACAUUUGGGGCUUGCCUUUUUCUUUUGUGCUCUCAUUAUAUGCAUAACGACUGCUUGUUGUAAUUUGUAGUGAUCCUUUGAUUCUUUUUAUAAUUGAAGCUGUCUUGCCUUUAUUUGCUCCCAAUUAUAGAUCCUAUAUAUUAUCUAUAGAUAAUAUUUUAUCAAUAGAUAAUUAUAGAUUACAGUUAGGUGUAAAAACCUAACUGUAUACUCUUACAUUCCAUGAUAGUGAAGUUUAUUUUUAUUAAAUCAGUACUCUUGAUUUCUCUUUCUGAAUGACUGUUGGAUUCUUGUUUGAAUGAUUAACUUGACUUUGUCAUCACAAGCUUCCAUUAACAUAGUCUUACUUCAUAUUGUAAUAUACUAAAGUAUAUUUUAUACCUCAGAUUUUAGGUAUGAUACCUGAUCCAUUAAAAAAUCCUUUUGUUAACAUUUGUCAAUCAUGUCCUUUGUUAGCUGCUCAGUAGUCUAUAUUACAUAUUUUUAAAUGUAUUGAUGUAUUUUUUUGCCAGUUUGUUUCCAGUGUAGUAUUGCAUACUUUAAUAACCUUCAGAUAGCUUGGAUCAGCUGCUUUUCCUUUGCCUUGCAUAGUUAUUCCCGAACUGUUGUUAAAGUUAGGGUAAGUAGUGCUGAGACUGAAAGCAAUAUUUUUUUCAAUUAAAAACUUAAUGUAGAAAAUUAGGGGUGCCUUGGUGCAAGAGUUUUGGGAGCAAUUAAUGUAAAAAAAUUCUUGUUAAAAAUAUCAAGAUGAGAUGAAGAUAAAAUUCAAACGUGUCAUUUUCUGUGUAUUUAUUUUUUCUAAAUGUUGGCUGUUUCUUCCUGUGCCUUUUAAAACCUUAUUAAUGGGUUCCUUGUGGUUGUGGUCAGUUUCUUGCUCCGUUUGGGUUUUUUGUAUUCAGGGAAGGGUCUGCAUCCACUGAUAUUUGCCAUAAUUUCUGAGGCUGAGUUCGCUUGUAGUUCCAGUUAAGUUUUGUUUUCAUUACUAGCUCUUUAACAGUUUUGAGGCGCAGAUGGUUCUGUCUUUUUCUUUCCUCAUAGUUAUUACAUGAGAUUAUUUUAUUCUGUUUUCUGUUCUUUUACUCUCAUUUCCUUAAAUGUUCAAAUUGUAUAGCAGUGGAACUCAUAGCCUUCAUCUUUAGUUUGGAUAUUAUUAAUUACAACAUUUAAAGCUUAUGUUUAUGUCUUCAUAUUUGGGUGAUAGAUGCCAAGAGCUUGCAAGAGACUGAUUCGUGGUCUGAGUAAUUUGGCAUGAAGGCAUGUCUUUGUAGUAAGCCCAGAGUAGCGUAGCAAAAGGUGUGUAAGCCGAAUCAUGAAGUGUAUUUGCGCCUUGAUUUCCUUGUGUGUUGUAUUAAACUACAGAACAUAAAAUGGAUAUGAUAGUUUUGCUGUAAAUACUUCAUGGGCAUCAUCAUUAUAACAAUAAUAGUAAUAAUAAUCAUCAGUAAUAAACAUCAUCAUCAUCAUCCUUCUCUUGCUCCUCUAAUAUUUGAUAAAGAAAUCCCUACCAUACAAAAUUAUUGCAGGAGUGUCAGAUGACAAGUUUAUUGCAUUUCUGCAUUUGCUUUGAAUUUUGUUCAUUCCACAUAAUGGAAAGGAAUUAAUACUGUUUUUCUUUAUCUUUUAGAUGCUGUGUCAUAGAAAAUUAAUGAGGGAAUCAUAAAACAUUGUAUUGUAUAAAGCAGUCAACAAAUUUGUAGACUAGAAAUGAGAUAAUCUCUGUAAUGAUGUAGGAAAUGUUGAUGUCUCGUGUGUCUCUGACAAUAAAUGCUGCUCUCUGCGGUACUUGGUAGUAUAAGCUGUCUGACUCUUGUCAGUUGAACUCAGGCAGUAGUUUGUCCAGAGCAUUAGGCUGACCCAAGGAAACUGCUCAGAGAAGCCUCUUGUUCUCCACAGUGACCCAUGCAGACAGAUCUGCAUGGUGAGGUGGUUAGGGGCUCACCUAACUAAUGUUAAAAGAAAGAAGUUCUUUCCUGCAUUACUUUUUGGUAGAAUCAAAGACUUGACGUUAUUUAUUAUUUUGUUGUGUAAAGAGCUGCUUGCACUCAGAGGGAUGAGACAGAAUGAGAAGAGGAAAGAAAGACUGCUCCCCUCCAUUGCAAUACAAGUUCUUGUGACUGAAGCUGUACUUCAGCAGUCUUUAUUUCAUUGAGUUCUCUGUAGAUUCUCCAAGUAACUAAUCUUAAAACAGAGAGAAUGUGGAGCAAGACCCGCUGAGAAGCUCUGGGAGUGCUUUAACAAGAGGGCCCCUGGGGUCCUGAGGCUGUGCACUGCACAGCUGGACCUGCCGUGCUGACCCACCCAGCUUUCUCACAGGAUGUGUCACCUCCCUCCAGGAGAUCAUGUACUCAUGGGUAAGAGAAAGGAAGAAAGUGUUCUAACUCCUGGGUCCCAGAAAAGGCGGAGAAGAGAAUACACAGAUGUACAUAGUGAUGAGUCUAAUGAAGAAGAAGCUUUAGAGUUCUCAGCUAGUAGCAGUGGCCCUUCACAGCUGCCUGACGGUGAGGUUGGGAUAAUUGAAAGUAUCCAGCUGAAGAACUUCAUGUGCCAUUCAAAUCUGGGGCCUUUUCAGUUUGGAUCAAAUCUUAAUUUUGUUGUUGGAACCAAUGGAAGUGGAAAAAGUUCUGUAUUAACAGCACUAAUUGUUGGACUUGGUGGAAAAGCCACUGCAACAAACAGAGGUUCCUCAUUAAAAAUGUUUAUUCAAAAAGGAGAGACUUCUGCAGAUAUUUCCAUAACUUUACGAAACCAAGGAAGAGAUGCAUUUAAACCAGAAUUGUAUGGUACCUCUAUUAUUGUGAAUCAGCGCAUUAAUCAGGAUGGAAGCAGAACUUGCAAACUGAAAAGCAAAGCUGGGACCAUAAUUUCUUCAAAGAAAGAGGAACUCAUAGGAAUACUGGAUCACUUUAAUAUACAGGUAGAUAAUCCUGUGUCUGUUUUAACUCAAGAGAUGAGUAAACAGUUUUUACAGACUAAAAAUGAAGGGGACAAGUACAAGUUUUUUAUGAAGGCAACUCAGCUGGAACAAAUGAAAGAAGAUUAUUCAUUUAUUGGGAAAACAAAAAAAAAUACCCGUGUUCAGAUAGAACAAGGGGAAGAGCGUCUUGAAGAACUUAAGCAGCUUUAUUUGGAAAAGAAGGAAAUUUUCAAAAGCAUCGCAUUUGUGAAUGACAUGCAAAGUCGUCUCAAAGAUUUGAAACAUCAAAUGGCGUGGGCAGUGGUGAGUGAGAUGGAAAAAGAAGUAGAGCUGCUCAAAGAAGGCGUCGAAGCUGAAGAAGGAAAUACAGAGCUCCUUCAGAAGGUAGAAGAAUGCCAGGUAAAAGUGAAUGAAGCAGAAAAAAAGUACAAAGCAAUACAAGACAAAUUGAUAACAGUAAGUGAAGAAGCACAAGCCCUUCAUCCUCAGUGUAUUUCUUUGAAGGCAGAAGUGCAGGCAAAAAGAAAAACAGUCAAUGAAACUGAGAUUGUUUAUAAUCGUUCCAAAACAGAGUUAAAACGUCUGGAAAAAGACCGUGAACAGCUACAUAAACGAAUUGAAGAACUGAAAAGCUGUGCUAAUCAGGAUUCAGAGCCUGAGAAAUUGGAAAGACAAGGGAGAAUUGCAUACUUAAGGGAACAGUUAAAAGCAUUCCAUGAUGAAGAAGUAAUGAUUGGUCAGCAGUUGGAUCAGUUUCAGCAGGCUAUAUCUAAGUGUAGGGAAGAACAUUCUAGACUCAGGAGAGAACGCAGUGAAGUGCAACAAGCACUAGAUGCCCAGCAGAAACAGCUGAGAGAUCUGAAAGAUAGUAAAACAAACACUUUGAAAAGAUUUGGACCACAUGUACCAGCAUUUCUUGAAGCAGUUGAAGUAGCCUAUAAUCAAGGACACUUUAGAAAGAAACCUCUUGGACCUUUAGGUGCUUUGAUUCAUCCAAAAGAUCCUGAACUGAUCUUGGCUAUCGAGUCCUGUUUAAAAGGCCUUCUUCAGGCAUUUUGCUGUGAUAAUCAUAGUGAUGAAAGAGCGCUUCAGUUACUGAUGUCAAAAUAUUAUGCACAUGGACAUAGACCUCAAAUAAUUGUAAACAAAUUUCAGAAUAGAAUUUAUGAUACUAGUCAGAGAGCUGUUCAUCAUCCGGAAUUCCCAUCAGUUCUGACAGCAUUGGAAAUAGACAAUCCGGUGGUUGCCAAUUGUUUGAUUGAUAUGAGGGGUAUAGAAACAGUCCUGCUGAUUAAAAGUAGCCGUAGGGCUCGUGAGGUAAUGCAGUGCAAUCAGCCCCCGAGAAACUGUAGAGAAGCUUUCACUGCUGAAGGUGAUCAAGUAUUUGAACGACGCUAUUACUCUUCCAGUUUUGUCAGACCCAAGUUCCUAAGUCAAGAUGUUGAAGCAGAAAUCAGUCACUUGAAUAAGGAAAUUGAAAACAAAAGGGCACAGUUGACAGCCUCUCAGCAACGCUUACAUUCCAUUGAAAAUGAGAUCAGGCAGAAUGAAGAUCAUCUCUGUGGUCAUCGGCGACACCAAAAACAACUGCAGGUGAAAAUAAGAACAGCAAAUGCAGAGAUAGCAGAUCUUGAAAACGUGGAAGAGCACCAGUCAGCAGACAUCCAUAUAUUACAAGACGAAGCUGAAGAAAAUAAGUGUAGGAUGGAAUCUGUGAAACAAGACAUGCAGCUACAAAGCAGAAAAAUGGAAGAACUGAAAAACAGUCUCCAAGCAGCUGAAAAAAAAUUGGAAGAGGUAAAAGAGAAAAUUCAUCAAGUGGAAGAAAUUGCUGGCCCAAUUAAGGCUGAAUUAAGCCAGGCUGAGUCAGAAGUGGAAAACAGUAAACGCCAUUUGCAGCACUAUGAAGAUAAACAGAGAGAACACGUGGCUUGCAUAAAUAAGCACAAAGAUUUACUAGUUUCCAAAGAAAAGGAAUUAGAGGAAAAAAUGGCAAAAGCAAGGCAAAUCUUCUCAGAGCCCAUCAAGGUCAGCAGAACUGUUAAAAGUCUUGAUGCAGAAAUGAAUCGCUUGAGAGAGAAGAUAAAUUUAGAAAGCAGUCACCGUGGAAACAGAGAAGAAAUAAUCCAGCAAUUUCAUUAUGCAAAGGAAAGAUACGAGGAUGCAAGCAAUAAAGUAAAGAACUUAAGGAGAUUUAUUGCAGUGCUGGAUGAAGUGAUGACAGAGAGGCUCAAAGUGUAUCGGCAAUUCCUAAGGAACCUUUCUAUGCAAUGCAAACUCCACUUUGAGCACUUAUUACGUGUUCGAGGUUGCUCUGGACAUAUAAUUUUUGAUCACAAGAAUGAGACACUUUCCAUAACAGUUCAGCCUCGAGAGGAAGAAAAAGCUGCCCGUAGUGAUCUGAGAUCCUUAUCAGGAGGUGAACGUUCCUUCUCCACAGUUUGUUUCAUUCUUUCUCUGUGGAACAUUUCUGAAUCUCCUUUCAGAUGCAUGGAUGAAUUUGAUGUCUACAUGGAUAUGGUUAACAGAAGAAUUGCCAUCGACAUGAUUCUGGAGAGAGCUGAUUUUCAGCGGCAUCGACAGUUCAUUUUGUUCACCCCCCUGAGCAUGAGUUCUCUGCCUACGAGUCCCCAUAUUCGAAUCCUCCGCAUGCCAGACCCUCCAAGAGACCAAAGAACACUGAAUUUCCAAAAUAGGAAUGAUGAAGAUGAAGAUCAAUAAGUAUCUCUGAACUUGAAAUUUUUGGCAACUUCAAAAAAACCCCACUUCUUAGAGUUCAGCUGCAUAUCUUUUUUGUCAUUGUUUUGGGGGAUUUUUUGUUGUUGUUUGAUGUUACAUGGCUACAAGAGCCAUUGAGACUACUCAGAGAACGACAUUCAACAGUUUCUGCACUUUUUUACUGAAUAGCAGUUCCUCAAUAAAACCUUAUCACAGUGCACUGAGUCUGUUUCCCUCUCCUGGCAGACCUCGGGCAGCCCAGGGUAAUGCCAGCAGCUGUGAGGAGGUUACUCACAGAGAGGACCAGGCUUUUUGUUAAUGUGCAUGCUGCAAGAGACAGACAGAGGUCAUCCACUGAAAUGGGAAGGUUCUGGCUCAGCAAACCAGUAAGGAUUGUUCAGGAUGAAGGACUGUGCAGAAUUUGUCACAGGAUAGAGAGAAACUUGAUUU